UACGUAGGGGGCAAGCGUUGUCCGGAUUUAUUGGGCGUAAAGCGCUCGCAGGUGGUUCGUCGCGUCGUGCGUGAAAGACCCCGGCUCAACUGGGGGAGGUCGUGCGAUACGGGCGGACUGGAGGCCAGUAGGGGGAUGCGGAAUUCCGGGUGUAGUGGUGAAAUGCGUAGAUAUCGGGAGGAACACCAGUGGCGAAGGCGGCUUCCUGGCCUGUUCUUGACGCUGAGGCGCGAAAGCUAGGGUAGCAAACGGG
rnacentral:rRNA from 1 species